AUAUCAAUAAGCGGAGGAAAAGAAACUAACAAGGAUUCCCCUAGUAACGGCGAGUGAAGAGGGAAAAGCUCAAAUUUUGAAUCUGGUGUCUUUGGCGCCCGAGUUGUAAUCUAGAGAAGUGUUUUCUGCCUCGGACCACACAUAAAUUCCCUGGAAUGGGGUGUCAUAGAGGGUGAGAAUCCCGUUUGUGGUGUGGACUACCUUGGCUCUGUGAUACACUCUCAACGAGUCGAGUUGUUUGGGAAUGCAGCUCAAAAUGGGUGGUAAAUUCCAUCUAAAGCUAAAUAUUGGCGAGAGACCGAUAGCGAACAAGUACCGUGAGGGAAAGAUGAAAAGCACUUUGGAAAGAGAGUGAAACAGUAC
rnacentral:rRNA from 1 species